CUACGGGCGGCAGCAGUGAGGAAUAUUGCACAAUGGGGGGAACCCUGAUGCAGCAACGCCGCGUGGAGGAUGACGCAUUUCGGUGCGUAAACUCCUUUUAUAUGUCAAGAAAAUGACGGUAGCAUAUGAAUAAGUACCGGCUAACUCCGUGCCAGCAGCCGCGGUAAUACGGAGGGUGCAAGCGUUACUCGGAAUCACUGGGCGUAAAGGACGCGUAGGCGGGUUGGAAAGUCAGGUGUGAAAUCCUACAGCUUAACUGUAGAACUGCACUUGAAACUUCUAAUCUAGAGUAUGGGAGGGGGAGAUGGAAUUAGUGGUGUAGGGGUAAAAUCCGUAGAUAUCACUAGGAAUACCUAAAGCGAAGGCGAUCUCCUGGAACAUUACUGACGCUAAGGCGUGAAAGCGUGGGGAGCAAACAGGAUUAGAUACCCGAGUAGUC
rnacentral:rRNA from 1 species